rnacentral:rRNA from 1 species
UACGUAGGGGGCGAGCGUUGUCCGGAAUCAUUGGGCGUAAAGCGCGUGUAGGCGGCCCGGUAAGUCCGCUGUGAAAGUCCAGGGCUCAACCCUGGGAUGCCGGUGGAUACUGUCGGGCUCGAGUCCGGAAGAGGCGCGUGGAAUUGCAGGUGUAGCGGUGGAAAUGCGUAGAUAUCUGCAGGAACACCCGUGGCGAAAGCGGCGCGCGGCCACUACUGACGCG